AACGAACGCUGGCGGCAUGCCUAACACAUGCAAGUCGAACGAGACCUUCGGGUCUAGUGGCGCACGGGUGCGUAACGCGUGGGAACCUGCCCUUAGGUUCGGAAUAACUCCCCGAAAGGGGUGCUAAUACCGGAUAAUGUCUUCGGACCAAAGAUUUAUCGCCUUUGGAUGGGCCCGCGUUGGAUUAGCUAGUUGGUAGGGUAAAAGCCUACCAAGGCGACGAUCCAUAGCUGGUCUGAGAGGAUGAUCAGCCACACUGGGACUGGGACACGGCCCAGACUCCUACGGGAGGCAGCAGUGGGGAAUAUUGGACAAUGGGCGAAGGCCUGAUCCAGCAAUGCCGCGUGAGUGAUGAAGGCCUUAGGGUUGUAAAGCUCUUUUACCCGGGAUGAUAAUGACAGUACCGGGAGAAUAAGCUCCGGCUAACUCCGUG
rnacentral:rRNA from 1 species